AACGAACGCUGGCGGCAGGCCUAACACAUGCAAGUCGAACGCUGUAGCAAUACAGAGUGGCAGACGGGUGAGUAACGCGUGGGAACCUUCCCAAUGGUACGGAAUAGCCCAGGGAAACUUGGGGUAAUACCGUAUACGCCCCUAGGGGGCAAGAUUUAUCGCCAUUGGAUGGGCCCGAGACGGAUUAGCUAGUUGGUGAGGUAAGGGCUCCCCAAGGCAACGAGCCGUAGCUGGUUUGAGAGAAUGACCAGCCACACUGGGACUGAGACACGGCCCAGACUCCUACGGGAGGCAGCAGUGGGGAAUCUUGGACAAUGGGCGCAAGCCUGAUCCAGCCAUGCCGCGUGAGUGACGAAGGCCUUAGGGUUGUAAAGCUCUUUUGCCGGGGACGAUAAUGACGGUACCCGGAGAAUAAGUCCCGGCUAACUUCGUGCCAGCAGCCGCCGUAA
rnacentral:rRNA from 1 species